AUUAAACUGAAGAGUUUGAUCCUGGCUCAGAUUGAACGCUGGCGGUAUGCUUAACACAUGCAAGUCGAACGGAAACGAUGGUAGCUUGCUACCAGGCGUCGAGUGGCGGACGGGUGAGUAAUGCGUAGGAAUCUGCCUAGUAGUGGGGGACAACUUGGGGAAACCCAGGCUAAUACCGCAUAAGCCCUAAGGGGGAAAGCGGGGGAUCUUCGGACCUCGCGCUAUUAGAUGAGCCUACGUCGGAUUAGCUAGUUGGUGAGGUAAAAGCUCACCAAGGCGACGAUCCGUAGCUGGUCUGAGAGGACGAUCAGCCACACUGGGACUGAGACACGGCCCAGACUCCUACGGGAGGCAGCAGUG
rnacentral:rRNA from 1 species